CUUUAACCGGGGGAUAGCCUUUCGAAAGAGAGAUUAAUACCGCAUAAAACAGCAGUCUGGCAUCAGAUAACUGUUAAAGCUUCGGUGGUUAAAGAUGGGCAUGCGUGCCAUUAGCUAGUUGGGGAGGUAACGGCUCACCAAGGCAACGAUGGCUAGGGGAUCUGAGAGGAUGGUCCCCCACACUGGUACUGAGAUACGGACCAGACUCCUACGGGAGGCAGCAGUAAGGAAUAUUGGUCAAUGGGCGCAAGCCUGAACCAGCCAUGCCGCGUGCAGGAAGACGGCCCUACGGGUUGUAAACUGCUUUUGUCGGGGAAAAAAUCAUUUUACGUGUAGGAUGUUGAUGGUACCCGAAGAAUAAGGAUCGGCUAACUCCGUGCCAGCAGCCGCGGUAAUACGGAGGAUCCAAGCGUUAUCCGGAUUUAUUGGGUUUAAAGGGUGCGUAGGCGGCUUUGUAAGUCAGUGGUGAAAGCCUUCAGCUUAACUGGAGAAAUGCCAUUGAUACUGCAGGGCUUGAGUACAGAUGAAGUGGGCGGAAUGUGUCAAGUAGCGGUGAAAUGCAUAGAUAUGACACAGAACACCGAUUGCGAAGGCAGCUCACUAAGGUGUAACUGACGCUGAGGCACGAAAGCGUGGGGAUCAAACAGGAUUAGAUACCCUGGUAGUCCACGCCCUAAACGAUGAUGACUCGCUGUCGGCGAUAGACAGUCGGCGGCUAAGCGAAAGCGUUAAGUCAUCCA
rnacentral:rRNA from 1 species